rnacentral:rRNA from 1 species
UACGAAGGGCGCUAGCGUUGUUCGGAAUCACUGGGCGUAAAGCGCACGUAGGCGGAUGUGUCAGUCAGGGGUGAAAUCCCGGGGCUCAACCUCGGAACUGCCUUUGAUACAGCACGUCUUGAGUCCGAUAGAGGUGGGUGGAAUUCCUAGUGUAGAGGUGAAAUUCGUAGAUAUUAGGAAGAACACCGGUGGCGAAGGCGGCCCACUGGAUCGGUACUGACGCUGAGGUGCGAAAGCGUGGGGAGCAAACAGG